GCUUACAGCCACACCGCCUGGUUCACGCCCGAUCUCGUUUGAUCUCGGAAGCUAAGAUAGGUUGGGCCUGGUUAGU
rnacentral:rRNA from 1 species